GAGGCGUGGCUUCCGGAGCUAACGCGUUAAGUCGACCGCCUGGGGAGUACGGCCGCAAGGUUAAAACUCAAAUGAAUUGACGGGGGCCCGCACAAGCGGUGGAGCAUGUGGUUUAAUUCGAUGCAACGCGAAGAACCUUACCUACUCUUGACAUCCAGAGAACUUACCAGAGAUGGUUUGGUGCCUUCGGGAACUCUGAGACAGGUGCUGCAUGGCUGUCGUCAGCUCGUGUUGUGAAAUGUUGGGUUAAGUCCCGCAACGAGCGCAACCCUUAUCCUUUGUUGCCAGCGGUCCGGCCGGGAACUCAAAGGAGACUGCCAGUGAUAAACUGGAGGAAGGUGGGGAUGACGUCAAGUCAUCAUGGCCCUUACGAGUAGGGCUACACACGUGCUACAAUGGCGCAUACAAAGAGAAGCGACCUCGCGAGAGCAAGCGGACCUCAUAAAGUGCGUCGUAGUCCGGAUUGGAGUCUGCAACUCGACUCCAUGAAGUCGGAAUCGCUAGUAAUCGUGGAUCAGAAUGCCACGGUGAAUACGUUCCCGGGCCUUGUACACACCGCCCGUCACACCAUGGGAGUGGGUUGCAAAAGAAGUAGGUAGCUUAACCUUCGGGAGGGCGCUUACCACUUUGUGAUUCAUGACUGGGGUGAAGUCGUAACAAGGU
rnacentral:rRNA from 1 species